UGUCAAGGGAUCUUGACACUUUCUCCUGUUUCUUCCAGUGCAGCCUCAGCCUCCUGCCACGGUUCAGGGAGGUAGGUGUUCUGAUGAGCUAGCAGGAAAGCCAAGCCUCGUCUGUCCUUGUCACUGAAUUGCUGCACUGGGAUGAUCUAGAGAGAUGGUUAUAGCUGGCUCCUAAAUGUGAUGUAAAAUCAUUCCAGGGCUUAUGGUUGUAACUCAGUUGGUAGAACGCCUUGUAUGUCAAAGCCCUGGGUUUGAUCCUCAGCACCACACACACUGUACGUUAGUGCUCCAUGCCUAUAAUCUUAGUACUUGGGACACAGAAGCAUGAGAAUCAAAAGUUCAAGGCCAUCUGUGGCUACAUAGUCUGUUUGAGAACAGCCUCACUAUGUAAGACCUUGUCACUCACACCCACGCACACCCACACACCAACUUACACAAAACAAACAGAAAACAAAAAAGAAAGAAAUCAAACCCAUCAUCAACAAAGAAUUCAUGUUAUAGGAAAUAUGGAAAACAGAGAUGGGAAGAGUCCAAGUUGACAAAUAUGUUUGCAUCUCUCCAUAUGACCAGUUUUAGCAUGCUUGCUACUUCUGUGGCAGAGAGGGCAGGAAUGAAUGAUAGGCAUCCUGGGCCCCAGUAGCUGCCAUCCUAUUCUGAAGUUGACCCCUUUUGUCUAUGAGUCAGUGGUAAGAACUUCUGGGUAGAUAUAAUAUGGGUGUGGUUAGCUGAGGGCCUAUCCUGCCCACCUACAGUGUGGCUGCCCCUUCUCCAGGUCUCAGGUGGAUCUCUACCUGGCUUGAUCUUGCACUGCAAAGCCACAGUGGGGACAGAGAGACUCUUGUAGAUGCAGCUUGCAUUGUGAUUUUGGCAGUCAGUGGCAGAAACUAAGAAGUAAGAAAGUAGCUCAUGACUCUGCUACCACCAGGCACUUGUCUUUUGUCCUUCUGUGCUUCCUGGCUGUCUUUGUUGAAUGUUAUCUCCUCUCUGUUUUGCCGUCACAUAGAAGAAAAGAGCAAAUCAGAUAGGUUCAUCCUGCAGUUGCUUGUGAGGUAAAUGAAUUCUCUCUCUGUUGAUGCCUGAAAAGAGAACCACAUGAACACACGAGGUAUUGGGCAGACGAACCACUGGAUCUGUCCUGUCACCUGUUAAAGGAGUGGGGACAUUUGUUGUCUCCCUUCCUCCCAGGUUGUAUUAAAUCAGCCAGUGUCUGGCAGUGUUCUUAGCAUAGCCUGGCCUGUUACCAACAAGGAAGCAAGUGUUCAUGUCCUUUCUCCUUGGUAAUCCUAAAAUAAACAGGCAUUUGUUUUUAGAUGUCCCAAGUUCAGGCCUUUGAGACUUGCCUGCUUUAUCAGAUUCUCCUACUGGAAGAACCUUGGUGACCUACUAGAACAGAGCGGGUUGCCAUCUACACAGUCAUCUACCAUCUGCUUUCCCGAGCAGCAGCCCAGGCGCUCCUUCAUUAGUUCCGGUGAGCUGCUGCACUAAGGCCUCUCUGCAUUUGAGAUAACGGCUGAUGAUGCAGGCCCCGAGAGGCAAGGGACAUGCCCACGGACCCAUGGUGAACUUGAGAGCAGAGAUGAGAUUUGAAUCUGAGAAUGUCCUGUAUGUGUCUCGUUCAGGGAUCGUGCCCGGGGUUGUUGUCAGGGUUAGAACAGUGGGAGUUUGGCAGCUGAAGCCUCUGGCUAAAGCUUUGGCUUCAGAAUUUCCAGGUAGGCCUCAGUUGGCCUUGCUAUGGUAAUUAGUUGUGCUGGUCCAUGUCUUGGAUUUUUCAAGCUUCUCCCUACCUCCUACAUUCACUAUUUUCUAAAUAGCGGUUGGCUUUUUCCAUGUCUUUUUUUAUGUCUAUUGCUUAUUAGGAUGAUUUUGAUAGUGGCUGAGCUUUCUCCUUCAGUCGUGUCUGCUAUUUGAUCAGUUGUAGCCUUCCUACACCUCUUCCGUGGCUUCCUAUUGAUCUCUCAUGAAGUUCAAACUCCUUAAGUUAGCAUGUAGGCUGUGUGUGGCCCUCUCCCUCCCCCUUUUCCUGUCCUGCUAUGGUUCUUUGUAUGUCUGCCCAGCCUACAACUCAGCCACCCUGAAAGUCUUUCAGUUCCUCUACCCUGUGUCUCCUUUCUUGCCUUUUUGCCUUUGCACAUUGUGUUGCUUCUGCACAGCACAUACUCCCUUUAGCUUCUCUCACUCAUUUACCAGGCCUCGGCUUAGCUUUCAUGUCCUCAGGGAGUCCUCCCUUCAAGUCAGUGCUCGAUGCUCUCUGGUUCAGUCUCUUGACUUGCUGCUGGUGGGACUGAGUGUAGAAGCCUGCCUGCCUGUCCUGUGCGCCCAGCAGUCUCUGUGGAAGGCUGACUGAGACCUCAGGGUCUCUAGAAGAAGGUGUUACUGGUACUGAGUGGUUGUGGCACCUUUGCCGUAGUCAACUAACCGCAUAGAUAAGGGCUUGUUUCUAGGCUUCCUGUUUCCAUCUUAUUUCGUUGGUCUUUGUGUCUGUUGUUUGCUAGUCCUAUGUUGGGUUGUUUUCUAUUUUUUAUUUAUAUUUAUUUAUUUUUCUUUUUAUAUUUAUUUUUUAUUAGAUAUUUUCUCUAUUUACAUUUCAAAUGUUAUCCCCUUUUCUGGUUUCCCCUCCAAAAAACCCCCUAUCCCCUCUCCCUCCCUGCUUUGUAUUUUUAUUAUUGUAUUUUAGUCCUAGACUACUUUGAUUGAUCUAGCUUUACUGUAGUAAGUUUGAAAUCAGUAAAUAUGAGUUCUCCAAUUGUUUUUCCUUUUUGAAGGUUAUUUUGGCCACCUCCUGCCACUCGAGAUUCCACGUAGAUUUUUUUAUUUCUG
rnacentral:lncRNA from 1 species